rnacentral:tRNA from 2 species
GUCCGGGUGGCGGAAUGGUAGACGCGCUAGCUUGAGGUGCUAGUGCCCGCAAUAGGGCGUGGGGGUUCGAGUCCCCCCUCGGACA